rnacentral:rRNA from 1 species
AUGAACGCUGGCGGCGUGCCUAAUACAUGCAAGUCGAGCGAACGGACGAGAAGCUUGCUUUUCUGAUGUUAGCGGCGGACGGGUGAGUAACACGUGGAUAACCUACCUAUAAGACUGGGAUAACUUCGGGAAACCGGAGCUAAUACCGGAUAAUAUUUUGAACCGCAUGGUUCAAAAGUGAAAGACGGUCUUGCUGUCACUUAUAGAUGGAUCCGCGCUGCAUUAGCUAGUUGGUAAGGUAACGGCUUACCAAGGCAACGAUGCAUAGCCGACCUGAGAGGGUAGCGGCCCACAGGAGACGUGACACGGGGCCAGGCCCCCGGGGGGAGGCAGAAGUGGGAAUUUUUCGGAAAGGGGGGAAAGCCGGAGGGAGAAGCCCCGGGUGGGGGAGAAAGGUCUUGGAUUGGAAAAACUGUUUGAUGGGGGAGAAAAAUAGGUAAAAGAACUUGGACACUUCUGGAGGGGCCCUAACAAAAAACCCAGGCCAAACUCGGGC